UACGUAGGGUGCGAGCGUUAAUCGGAAUUACUGGGCGUAAAGCGUGCGCAGGCGGUUUUGUAAGCCAGAUGUGAAAGCCCCGGGCUUAACCUGGGAACUGCGUUUGAAACUGGGAGACUUGAGUGUGGCAGAGGGGGGUGGAAUUCCACGUGUAGCAGUGAAAUGCGUAGAUAUGUGGAGGAACACCGAUGGCGAAGGCAGCCCCCUGGGUUAACACUGACGCUCAUGCACGAAAGCGUGGGGAGCAAACAGG
rnacentral:rRNA from 1 species